UGGGGAAUUUUGGACAAUGGGCGAAAGCCUGAUCCAGCAAUGCCGCGUGUGUGAAGAAGGCCUUCGGGUUGUAAAGCACUUUUGUCCGGAAAGAAAUCCUUGGCUCUAAUACAGUCGGGGGAUGACGGUACCGGAAGAAUAAGCACCGGCUAACUACGUGCCAGCAGCCGCGGUAAUACGUAGGGUGCAAGCGUUAAUCGGAAUUACUGGGCGUAAAGCGUGCGCAGGCGGUUUGCUAAGACCGAUGUGAAAUCCCCGGGCUCAACCUGGGAACUGCAUUGGUGACUGGCAGGCUAGAGUAUGGCAGAGGGGGGUAGAAUUCCACGUGUAGCAGUGAAAUGCGUAGAGAUGUGGAGGAAUACCGAUGGCGAAGGCAGCCCCCUGGGCCAAUACUGACGCUCAUGCACGAAAGCGUGGGGAGCAAACAGGAUUAGAUACCCUGGUAGUCCACGCCCUAAACGAUGUCAACUAGUUGUUGGGGAUUCAUUUCCUAGUAACGUAGCUAACGCGUGAAGUUGACCGCCUGGGGAGUACGGUCGCAAGAUUAAAACUCAAAGGAAUUGACGGGGUCAUAGCUG
rnacentral:rRNA from 1 species